AUUGAACGCUGGCGGCAGGCCUAACACAUGCAAGUCGAGCGGCAGCGGGAAAGUAGCUUGCUACUUUUGCCGGCGAGCGGCGGACGGGUGAGUAAUGCCUGGGGAUCUGCCCAGUCGAGGGGGAUAACUACUGGAAACGGUAGCUAAUACCGCAUACGCCCUACGGGGGAAAGCAGGGGACCUCCGGGCCUUGCGCGAUUGGAUGAACCCGGGUGGGAUUAGCUAGUUGGUGAGGUAAUGGCUCACCAAGGCGACGAUCCCUAGCUGGUCUGAGAGGAUGAUCAGCCACACUGGAACUGAGACACGGUCCAGACUCCUACGGGAGGCAGCAGUGGGGAAUAUUGCACAAUGGGGGAAACCCUGAUGCAGCCAUGCCGCGUGUGUGAAGAAGGCCUUCGGGUUGUAGAGCACUUUCAGCGAGGAGGAAAGGUUGGUAGCUAAUAACUGCCAGCUGUGACGUUACUCGCAGAAGAAGCACCGGCUAACUCCGUGCCAGCCGCCGCGGUAAAAC
rnacentral:rRNA from 1 species